GUUAUCGAGAAUCAGACAGUGGCGCACGGUCCACCGUGCUACUCACAACCUACCACGCUACGCUAGAAAGAGAGGCUCCACCGUAUCGAUUGGAGUCGCGUGGCCGAAGCGUGGCAUAUCAUCCCUCUUCCUUCGCGCACGCUUUCCUCCGUGCCGUUUCGAACGAGAACGAGAGGGACAAGGAGCGGCGUUGAGUUCGAGAAGGACACGCGAGCAGGCGUGUACGAUGGAAAAGGAGGGGGAGGGUAGGAAACAGAAAGAGAGACGAAUACUUUGCGUCUCAGACACGCUUCGCUCGUGUGCCUUCGAAACGUCUGACGCGAGGCCAGCUGCCCUUCGCCGCGCUGUUUCUCCACCGAACGAACGGAAUCUCGUUUCGUUCGCGACAAUAAGACGAUCGUCCCUUCCCUUCCCACAGUUUAAAGGGAACGGGAUCAGAGUGGUGGUGGUGGUGGUGGUGGUGAUCGUGGUCAUUCGUGUAACAUCUGAUCGACGAUACGCGCUCCUUCCAACAGAGGGAACUGUGUACGAGGUAACCGUGGAAAACGCUAUGUCGUAACUAUACUAUACGCAGAGAUUACGUUCGCUUCGAUUAACUUUGCGGUUAUAAGUUGGGGAAGAGAUAUGCGUGCUCUUGUUAAGGAGAUACGAUCGAUCGAUACGAUCCAAGAUAAACGAAGGCUCGAUUGAGGAUCACUGGGUCACCGCACGAGAUCGGUGCAGUUAUGUCGGAUCACGGUUCCCGUAUCACGGUUUCGGGUAGGGGCGACAUAUGCCACCUGAAUGGGCGAAAAUCAGGGGAGCAGUCAGGUUUCUGGAUCAAGUCGAAGUUUCGGGGAUGCAAAUUGGGAUUAGCCGUCGCCGCCACCCGGUUCGCCCAGAUACGCUGGCCGCGUACGCUGCGCGCGCAUGCAUUAGCGGCGCGCGCAUAUCUAAUUUAUCAUUUUAUGCGCCGAUUCGAACGAAAGGGAACUCUCUUUUAUUUUCCAGCCCCGCUAGAAGCUUGAUGGUUAGUUCAUCGGGGCGCAACAACGCACGUCUGCCUGUAUGUGUCUCUGGUGCGCGCGCGUGUGUGUAUGUGUGUAUAUACGAGGCGCAAGUGUACGAGCGAAUGAACGACGUUACUAAAGUGAUGUCGCUCGAAAUAUAGCUUACCGGAUCGUCCGUAAAUUACAUGCGAACGUAUUUACGAGGAACCAUAUAUUCCGAUAAAGGUGUCACGCGUAUAUAUUGAAUAUUGAAUAUCGAUUAUGAGUUAGAUAUACUUGGCAGAAACGUUACGUUUAAAUGUAAAUUGGGAAAAAUAUAUAACAUUGUAAACAUAUUGGAAAUAAAGGGGGACACGCAUGCGCUGUCACGCGAGUGAAUUAAUGGAAAUAUUAAAUAACUAUAUAUGCAAGCGGCCGUAUUUGUGCGUGCGUGCGCAUACAUAAUUCACCAUUUCGGAUAUGGGGAAAAGGGUUUCGAAACCGAAUGGCACGUUGAUCGUAUCGUAUUGAAAAAUAAUAACAAUGACUGUCCGCUUUAUUUAUCACACCGUCUUCAAGUGAUAUUUUAAUCGGCGAUCUUUAAUCGGCAGGAACUGCCUGUAAUAAAUUUUUGCGUAUUGUCAAAUGUAAUAAACAGACCCGUAAAAAAUUAAAUCGAUUAAUUCGCAUCGACGAAAUUAUUAUUCGGUCCUGCCAAACUUGCUUAAACUUGACUGUUUAAAUUAUUAGACAGAAGUAAAACGGAGAGGAAAAGGGAAAGCUCGCUCGAAAUUCGAGAUAUGAAUGAAAGAGAGAGAAAGAAAGAUCUUUCGUAUAGAAAUAUCGUAUCGGCAUGACACGAUCGAAUCCGAACAAUAAAAGUUCGCGUCCCCCCGCCUCCUUCCCCCAUCCUCGACUCCCCGAGGGGGAACGGAACGGAGAAAGAGAAAGACGUCCCAAUCGCGUGGAAAUAAAUCUCCAUAUCUGACACGAGGCGGUAUAGGCUUCUUUUUUCCUAUGAAAAACCAUCGUAGGAGAAGAAGAAGAAGUAGAAGAAGAAGAAGAAGAGGAACACUCUUUCGUGGCGUGGAACCGGUGAGAGGAGGGGCGGAGGGGGGAGGAAAAAGGGAACCCGAUCAUUUCUACUACGGCAUGAAAGAAAACCUGCACGAGCCGUUGUCGAGGAUAGAAAAUGAAGCGAAGGGGGGAGAGGGAUGGGCGAAGGAGAGGGAAGGAGAGAGGUAGCAGUGGAAAUAGCGGCUCGUUCUUAGUGGCACGAGGACCGUCUCGAAUCCCCCGUCUGUUGAAAGAACAGUUUCCCCCCGAAGGGAAAGAAGAAGAGGAGGAACUGCGUCUCCUCUCCUCGAGGGGUCCCCGAUAUUUCUCUCCUUUGAUAUUUUCCAAAAAGGAGGAGGAGACCAAGGGUCCUUUAUAGAAAUUUGGCAAAGAAAUUGAUGAUUUCGAGUGGAGAGGAUCCUCGAUCUUCGUUUAUCGCUACAGAAAGGGUAUAUUUUAUAAUUUUAUUCCCAUUUUUUUUUCUUCGAUUCAAUUUAACCUUCAUCGUGAAACGGAAUUAAUUAAUUAUUUUAUUUAGUUUAAAAUUUAAUUUUGAAUAAUUACUUGAAUUUUUUUUCGGUCGGACGACGCGUAUGAAUUUUGGAUAAUAAAAAAAGAUACGGAAUAAUCGAUCCUGCUAUUUAUUUUCCCUUUGAGAGAACGCGCGUGUUUGAACUCGAGAUUAAGGGGGAUGGAAGAGAGGCAGGCAGGUCGAUUCUCCUCUCUUUCCCUCGAUCUAAUCCACGGAGGAUGAUGAUGCUUGCGUAGCUGAAUCAACUUCCGUUACACCGUCGCUUGACAUUCCCCGAUUUGUCAAGUUUAGCUACCAAGCUUACGCGAGAUCGAGCGUUGAGAAACGAGAUUACAGAUUAUCGAUCUUGCUUUCCUUAUUUGAUCCGGCCGCCCAAUUUCCAACAUCCAGCUGCACGUCGGAUAUAAUGAAAGAAAAAUCGUGGCAUUUGCUACUUUCGCUUUUUUUUUUUAAAAAAGAGGUUGAAUUAAAAAGGAGAGGAAAAAAAGAAAAGGGAAAAAAGUUUUUACUGAGAAUGAGAUAAAUUAAAAUUAUCGAAGAGGCGCAAGAUCUAAUUUUCCUUAUUUCAUCCGAAUUUCCAGCUGCUCAUAUAUAUAUAUAAAUAUAAUAAAAUAUAGUAAAAGAAAAAUUUGCUACUUUCGCUUUUUCAAAAAAACGAGAGAAUUAAAAAUUAUCGAAGAGCGUAAGAUAGAAAGAGAAUCGAGCCGGACUAUCUAAUUUUAUUCCUUAUUCGAUCUGAAUUUGCAACGUUCGGCUCAGAUAAUAAAUGUAAUAAAAGAAAAUAAAAAAGCGGUUAAAUUAAAACGAGACAAAAAAAAAGAAUCGAAUGAAAUAAAUUAAAAUGUUAUUAUCGAAGAUCUAAUUUUCCUUAUUUCAUCCGAAUUUCCAGCUGCUCAUAUAUAUAUAUAAAUAUAAUAAAAUAUAGUAAAAGAAAAAUUUGCUACUUUUUCAAAAAAACGAGUUAAAUUGAAACGAGAGAAGAAAAAGAUCAAAAUGAGAUACGUUAAACACGUUAUCGAAGAUAGAAUCGAGACAAUGUUGCGGACGAUCUAAUUUUCCGUUAACGCGGCUCGCUCCUCUCCACGGAUCGUGCACCUCGUAUUUCGGGUAAGUGUGGCACGCGCCGGAAUACGUGGAAGUCGGAUAUCAUGGGAUAAGCCGGGAGAAAGAGCGAGAGAGAAAGGGAGAAAGAGAGAAGUUGCUGUACAAGAAGUGGUCAGAAGGCGGUGUGAGCGGGGAAGGGGGAGGUUGAGCGAGAGGGGAAGACAGGUGCAUCGCACCGCCAAUUAUAUUUCGGAAGGGAAAAACGAGCAGUGCAUAAAAACAUGAAAAAAAGUCCGCAGGCGCGCACGCACACGCAUCACCCGGAGUGGGAGCACCCGCUGAAAGAAACCGACUGAACGAAGAGAGAGAGAGAGAGAGAUAAGUAUCGAGCGAAUAAUGACAAACAAUGAUGGACCAAUGAUGCAGAUAUACGUAUUUGAUCAUCGUGAAGGGAUCGAAUAACGAACAUAAUUUUACAUUACAUUGGAGGGAAGCAUCGAUAUGGGAUCGUAAUUUCGAUCGUCCACUACGAUCGAAAUAGGGACUCGUCUUUUACGAGCCCCUCGAUUAUAUUAGCACCGCAACAUCGCGAAACAUGUUCGAUAGAGAAUGUGACGAAAAAGGUGAGAACGGUAAAAAAUACGAACGUGUAAAGUAACAGUCGUAAAACACGAGGAGGUGAAAUUUGUUUUAUCUCGGAUAGAAGGGGAAUUUCUCUGGCGAAACGUUGGGAAGAAAGUUUACGUAAGAGAAACACUUGUGUACGAUCGAGCAACUUACAAGUAAAAAAAAAAAAAGAAAUGAUAAACGAAUCGUGUUAUUAAUGUACUUUAUCAAAACCGUUUUCGUAGUGUUGUUUCGCGCAACAUGGAACGAGGAGUUUAAAUUUUAUUCCUCUUCGAUCGAUUCGAUGCUAACAAGCGCACGUUUCAUAAAGAUAAUAUAAAUUUUCGUUAAACGACGUCCUUGUAAUCCGAGAGAAUUGCGAUGAUCGAAUGCGACAGCUCGCAAGAAAUCGAAUUUAUUCGAUCUCCCCUCCCUCCUCCUCCUUUCGAAAAAGGAGGUUGCGAAACUGUAGAUAAAAGGAGAGAAACAAGUAAAAAGGCCGUGUACAUAUAUAUAUAUAUAUACGUCAGAAAGGGAAAAAAGUUAAUAAGCACGGCACGCGCCCUGCCUCUCCCUCCCCUUUCUUUAAUCACUCGCCUCUCUCCACUUUGCAAUAUUCUCCACUUAUAAGUACUUUGUUCCUCGCUUCUCGCUUCUUUUUCUCGCGCACCGCUCGUGACGUGAUCGAAAUUCGUAUUUCGUUAUUAUAAAGAAAAAAUUAUAUUUACGAUAUCUAUUUUAAUAAUAGGCUGUGCUCUCAUGUGCCUCCUGAUUACAGGUAUAUAGCCCACGAUAUUCAAUAACUAUAUCACGUAUAUCGAUAUAUUUUUCGUUCGUGGAUCGAACGUUGAAAUAUUCAAUCAUAUUGAUUAUGCAACAAGUUUCGUUUCGAAAAUUUAAUUUCGAAACGAAAAAUGCAUCUUUCUCUUCGGUAAAAGUAGAAAGACAGCGAGAAAGAAAAAAAGAGAGAAAAAGCGAAACCAAGACAACGGGUAAUCUUCGGGGAGUCAAUUAAGGUGAAUUAAACAUCACCGAAAGAAGUCCAAGUUCAAUCGGAGUCAACAUGGUAGAGUUGCUUCUAUUCGCCGCGGCGAAUCGUUUCGCUCGUUUAUCCUCCUAAACGAUGCGACAUCGUAGAUUAAUCUCCUAGUCGCUUUUUCCCUUCCCUUCGAGACGAGGAUGGACGAGAGCGCAAUAGCACGCGCACGGGGCGAACGGAGAAGGAAGAUGAACAGGAGUAGGACGAGAGAGAAGGAAGGAAGGAAGGAAAGAAGGAAGGAAGAAAGAAAGAACGAAUACAGUGGCGUGCGAAUAAGCAGGUGUACGACCUCCUCGUGAAAACCGCCGCUUCUCCAACUACUUCUUCUUCUUCCUUCUCUCCUCAUUACCGACUUCUUUCCCCAUCUCUGAUUGUGAUUCUCGUGCAUCACCGUGAUUAAUCUUCGUUAUCGAUGUAAAACUUGUAAAAAUUUCAAUAAAUUUAAACCUUCGAAUUUUUGAUAAAAUGUACGCCGCAUUUACAUACUUAUCGAAAGUUCAAUCGUUCUUCUUCCUCCACGCGGAAUUCAAAUAAACCACGAUGACUUUACUCGAAGGAGGUUUUUUUGUUUCCUUUUAUUUCGUUUUUCAAGCUUAUCGAUUGGUGGAUGGCCGAUGACAGUCGAAUCCACCAAUGUGUGAAAAGAGGUGCGAUGGGAUCUCUGAGCAGCUAUUCAGCUUGUUGUUGAAUUACCCCAAUAUCAGGCUACGUUCGUACUUAAGCUCGAUGAUUGUUAUUACGGCACAGGUAAAUUCUUGCUCCGGUGUUGUGCAUGACUGGUCGCCACUUCGACAGAAAUUUAAUUCCUUAUGACUUAAUUCCAUCUUUUCGCGCCGUAUAAUAUAACAUAAUAUAAUAUAAUAACGCGGAUACUUUUGCCAAUAAGUUCGCCGCUUUCGAUUGCAAAAAAAUUGGAUCGAUGUUGCCGAGAAAGAAAGACGAUUUUCAUUCGCAACUUUGUGUAUUUUACGAAUCUUCGAAGCUCGUGAGAAGAUAAAUCGCAUUAUCUUUUUUUUCUCUCUCUCUUCGAUUUAUCUUUGUUCGUAGAAUCACUUCCUAUUAAAUCAAAUAUAUGACAUCCUAUACGUACACAUCAAUCGUACGUUAUAUCAUAUUAUAAGUGAUUAACUCUUUUAUCUUGAUUCGAUGAAAUAUUGCUGUUUAUUUAUCGAGUUAUAAAUUCUUGAUUCACAGUUCAAUUAUUGUAUUCCGAUAUUACAAACUAAAAGUGAUUAGCGAUAAAUAACAUUGUGAAAUUAAAUUCUUCUGUAGAGUAGAUUAAUAAGUUGAGGGGUUUGACUUGUGAUAUGACUGCACCUGCUAAUUUAUGAUGACGUGACAAGAUGUGGAAUUAAGGUCAUCGCAUUUUAUUAACAAUUAAAAUCGUAUAAAGGAUAGACCGCCCGGAGAGGGAUAAAGAUAUAUUUCGAAUUAUCUGUCGACUGACAAUUAAUGCUUUUUUUUAUUACAACGAUAAUUAAAGCAACAUCGUUUCGUGUAAAUGUUUCGUCGAUGUUCAACUAUUUCUUUCAACCGAUCGCGAUAAUAACGUUUCUUUCACAUUCACAAAUAACCAGGAGACACGCGAAAAUCGUUCGUUGAAAAAUAUUCGAGAAGCUCGUGCACGCGAGAUCUCAGAAACGGAUAUCUUCAUCUCGAUGUGUCGAGACCGUGAAAUUCUUCGAAAUUAAAAAUUUUUCAUAUACGUAAAAAAAAAAAAAAAAAGAAGAAAAAAAGAAAUAAAAAAAUUCCAGUAAAUUUAAUUCGUCCAUCGAACCGCGAUAUUCAUCCAGAUCGACACGUUUUGUGACCGAUAAUUGUCGAUCCACAAAACGGAUUAAAAGACCAACAUCUUUCGAGACGUUAACUCGGUUAAACAGUUAAGGUCUGGUUAACCAUUAUGGGGAUAAAAACCCGAGGAAACCGAGGACACGAUUCUCUCUGGUUCGCUCCUACCCGGUUGCUAAUUAAAAAAGAUAAAAACGAGGGAUUACUUUUCCGUCUUUAUCUCGAUGGUGUGCCAAUCCAUCGCUGUGGCUAAAGUGUACGUACACAGAGGGAACGGCGCGCAAGAAAACGUAUAGCGGUUUCGCCGUGGCUCAUUAGCUCGCUAUCGCGGUUGGCGCGAGCGAGUGUUGCCUUCGGCGUGGCACCUUGCCUUCGCGACAGACAGGUGCAUCUCGUACUUUCCUCCUUGUCCCACGUGUCGCGCGUCAACUCGCGCCAUCCUUGUCCACUGGUCCGAUAACGAGAGCGAACGAGCGAAGAGGAGGGACGUGGCGUACGACGAAGAAGUCCGAGGCACGUGGCACCGAAAUAAUCGUUCGAAUUGCUCUUGCGACCUGCACGAUAUGCAGAUGCCUCGGGGAAUUAAGGUCUUCCCGAGAAAUCGUUGGAAUUACUUCGCUCGCUUCGCGUUUUCUUUUCUCCCGUAGCAUUCAUACGCCUAAUCAGAUCUGCUACCUCGGUACGUAAGUACUCUACUAUGUCAACACGGUCUAUUGGCCUCCAGGCGCUUAGGAUCGUUAUUACGCAGUUAUCUUCGAGCGGUGAUGCGUAAUUUGUCGUUGGACAAGUAACAUCGAGUUACUUUGCAAGUAACACGUUUAGCUUUUAGUUUUUUUAUUUCGAUCGAACAGAUUACCAGUAAUAAUAUCGAAUUUAAUACACGAUACGAGCGUAUUUCUAUUAAAUUACUUUUCAUUUGCCUACGGGAUAAAUGUUGUUUUGUGAAUAUAUCGUUACCCGGUAACUUCGUACGGGUAAAUUAUGAAAUAUCGCGAUUUCUCUUUGCAUUGUGCGAUUUUAUGAGACAAUCACGAUCCUUACACGUCGCUUGUGAUUCAUACAAUUAUAGAUCACGACAUCGUGCAGUAAUAAACGAAGAGGAAUAAUAUAAUAUUGCGGUAAUUUCACUGGAUCGUAAUAAAUUUUGUUUCGUGUAAAAACUGGUUUGACCAACGUUUGCCGAACUUGUAGAAAGUUACAGCGCCUGGAUGAAGAUUGCACCGAUAUACAGUUGAGCAGCGGGUACUACUAUCUCGCAGGCCACGCGAAAAACUUUACUUUUAUCAUCUUCGCGUAAUGAUAAUUUUUUUAUACAAAUUUUUUUUUUUUAAUAUAAGUACUACAAAAAAAGACAAAUUUAUAUAUAUUCAUAUAAAUUAUAGAUUAAAAAAAUUUCCAUUCCAAUUAUUAAAAUUUCUCGAAAAUUUUUUCGUUUAAUUUUCGUAAGAAAAGUGGGAUACCAGUUAACGACUGAGAAGUAAUGGCUGGCUUUUCGAAGACGAAUUCGUUGUCAAAUUGUUUAACAGCGGGGUAUUGUUAUCAAGAUGGUGUUGUUGGAACCCUAUUGGUCGGCUCUACACUCAUCUUUCCACGGCGUACAUACUGAAAGUGUGUUCGAUUUAUCGCAGGAAAGGAUCUUCGCUAUGCUCGUGUGCUUCCGAGUAUAGCGCUAUUUGAGGGUUGGCUGCAAAUGGAAAGGAAAAUUUGUCUUCCACGUUGUUCUUCUAUUGUUUCACAAGAUUAAUUCCCAUACUCGGGCUGAUGUAAAGUGCUCGAACAAGUUCUUUGUGCCUGUUUUCGUUGAUGUAUCAAUUAAUUAGCGGCCAACGUUUAGAUUCUUUUACUAAACAAAAAUAAAUAAUUCUAGUAUGUUCUAACAAGAGCAAACUUCCGAAUUAAAAAAAAAAAAAAUAAAAACAAUUCAUUCAUAAAAUAAAUAAGGAAAAAAAAUCUACGUAAUAUUUUAACAACAAUCAUUAAAUCAUCUCCAUCACCUCCUCAAACUUGAUCUGAAAAAUCAUACAAAGAGAUUAAACUUCGAAUCGAUAGAAACUUCAUCAGUCAUAAAGGAAGAUGGACGACUACGUGCACGAUCCAGAAUUUAUCUGACUCGAAGAUCUCGAACGUUAAAAAAAGAAAAAAAGAUCGAUCUAUCGUUAUAAUUUUCGACUGACCAGAGAGGUAGGGAAAGGAGAAGAAGAACUAUAGUUAAUUUCCAACGCGAGCCACUGUAUAAUAAAUACGCAGGAAUGUUGCCCAGAAGAGGCGGUUACAGCGAGGAAGCUGGCGCCGAAUUUAAAACCGAGCCGCGUAUCCUUAACAGAAAUAAAAGUGUGACACGGUGGCCCGUUCCUCAAUGGCUGUGCAAAAGCUGCUCGCGCGAUCGGAAGGCGUUUGAUACCUGGGCUGGAUUCUCCUCGUGGACGUUAGGUCAAUUCUCCGCGAGCGGCCAUUAAAAAAAAAAAGAAGAAAAAGAAAGAGAAAAAGAAAGAAGAUUCGGCGGGCCGUGUACGCGUGCGCGCACGCACACGCUUGCGCAGGAAGUGACGAGGAAGGUGGCGGUUGCGGCGGAUAGAAGAAGAGGGGGAACCUGCUCAAGAUGAGACGAGAAUGACCAGGGGGCAGCGCACGCGAAUCCAUAAUGAUACACCAUCGAGCGAGCAGGCCGCUUGCCUGGAUAAAAACGAGUGGACACUGUUCUCGCGCGGAAUCGCGUCAACUUGGCCCUCCUUGUCCUCGAAAAAUGUGAGCGUGGCUCGUUAAAAAUUAUGCCGCAAAAUCGAUACUUGGCCCGCCGCUGAAAAAUUCAAUCAACCGUAGGGACGAUCUUGGCUCGGCCGCGCUUCAUUCGGGAGCCGUUUACUCGUGUAACCGGGAUUAUUAUUCGGCCAGUUGUUUUCGAACCGGGCUCGAGUUCACUUUCCAUCUCGUUUCGUAUUCACGCCCGCCAAUUUCGGAAUGUGUAAUUGCACGAUUGCGUGUUCUCGGUUUCUGCGGUUUUCGAGAAUCAACGCUCGCGGUUUUCCGACUCUCGUCGUGAUGGAACAAUGUUGUCUCAUUUCGGGGACGAGUUAAUUCGCGCGACGAGAGAAUGGGAACGUGUCUAAAGAAACAGAGUUUCACGAAUAAAUAUUAUUUCGCGAUGGAAAGAUUGUUGUACUCUUCUUAAAAUUUUAGGUUAUGUUUUUGUCCGGACUUCGAUCGAGGAAAAAUUCACUGAAACAAAUAAAGUAUACGUAUAUAUUUAACGAUACUCAUUUUAAUUCUAUGUAGUAAAAUCGGCCUAAUUGAAUCGAGGUAAUGGGAUUAAUGGCGUCGAGUUAAUAAGAGGCUGGAAAGUUACCGUUCCAGGAAUCAUGCACCACACGCGUCCUUUCGCAGAAAUGACUGCAGACACAGAGGUACAAUUGAGGAAAAAAGAAAGCAGAAUGAUUUACAAUGAGCGUCAUGGCAUCGCAGACGUAAAAUUAAGUAAAAUUUCAACAUAUGAAAAAUAUGAAAAAAUGUUUCCUUUAAAUAUACCAUAGUCUCGCACAAAUAUUCGAAUAAGUGUGAUUAUUUCUUUUUUUAUUUGUUCUUUUUAUUUCAAGUAAAAAUUAUCCUGUACGAGGGAACAAAUUUUUUUCAAAGAAAAUAGUUUUUUGAAAGAGCUGAAAAGUACAAGAAUUGCGCAGAAAGGAUUAAAAUUAAUCUCCACGUGUACGGCCAUAAACAAUUUGGAAAGUGCACUUUUAAUACACGCGUAUGGUCAUAAGUUUACUUACGUAUUUCGCUACAUAAAGAAGAACACCGUAAUUCCGUGAUCAUCGAUCGAAAUUGUCAAUCGAUUGAUAAAUAUGGAUCCGCUAUUCGCGAAAGUUCCUUCUCAAAAGUAUCGGCGAAAUCAAUUGUAUGGAGAGACUUGUUUUCCUUUAUUUUUUCGUCUCUUGUUUCUCAAUAAGAGAAUUAUAUUUAAAGAAAGUUUUACGAACAACCAUUGUAAAUUUUAAAAAGGUUAAUGAAUUCGAUUUUCAAUACUUACGCAUUUAACCUAUACAUUACGUGAUUGAUUGAGGAAGCAGAAACGAAUAUCUUCUUUGAAUAAAAAAAAAAAACGGUAAAAAGAAAAAAAAAAUGAACGAAAUCCAGAAGAAUUUAAAGGAACAGCGAUCGGUUGUCGGUGUAAAGAUGAUUAAAUUAUUACCAAAUCGUUUUUCUUUGAGGUUAGUUUGUAGUACGCGAAGAGGGCGUUGCGCGAAAUGAGUUACGUACGUACAUAUACGUACGUAUACGCGUUGGUCUAUUUUCUUUCCCCUGUAGGUUCUGUUAGUGCCGAUUCCACCUCCAGCUCGUUUAUUUUCACGAGGCAACAGUGUUUCAGCCGCUGAAGGGAGGGUGCACGCACGCCGAGAAAAUAAAAGGCAGCCGCCUCGGGAGCGCGUUUCACGAUACACCGGCUCAUCGCCGGAGAAAAGGAUCGGCCACGCGGCGGGUCAGACAGAGACGAAGAACCCGGGUUCGGUGGGAACCCGAGAAGUUGCUGCCGGUCCCGCUCCCGUCGUCGCUCUAGCGAUGGCCACCGAUCGCCCUCGAAACGUAUCAAACUCGCUCUGUUCAUCAUUUCGAUGCGAUUUCAAUGCAAUUUUUUAUCGUGUUCCUCUUUAUUUUCUAUUGUUUCACUUCGUGAAAUUUGCGUACGCCUUCCAACAGUAAGUAGACAUUGAUUUUAUUUAUUUAUCGCCAUCGUAAUACGGUUCUGUAAAAAAAAAGAAAUAUCUGAAAAAUUUAAAAAGUCGAGUUACCGAAUAAUAUCGAUCGAUAUUCGAGCGUAAGUACGUAAAUUUUUAACAUCAUGAGUGAAUACGAUUGGAAUUGCGUAAAUCUUUCUAGUACAUACGUAGGCCAUCACUGGCGGAGAACAACAGAGGAGAACAUGAAUAAAAUGCAGCCACGCAGCGUGAGUACGUUGCCUGGAGUAAGUACUACAAGCGUUUGAGAGCUGAAAGAAGCAACUCGAGAAGGCGAGUAAAUCUGACGGCGCCCGAGAGAACAGGAUAAGAGAAAGAGGAAGAAGAGGAAGAAGAUCGAGAAAUAGAAGUAGAAGAAGAAGGAGGGCUGAGAAAAUGUAAAACGAAACAAAGGAAGGGGAGAAGAAACGUUGUUCCCAAGAGAGGGUGGAGAUGAACCGGGGAGAUACUAAUCGGUAUUUCUUGAUAGCGAGAGGAAGGGGGACAGAAGAAAUUGGUGAGAAUGAAAGUAGGAGGAAGUGAGAUAAAAUUUUAAGAUACCGAGCGUGGCGGUCGCGUGGCGUGCAAGCAACUGCGCAUGCGCAUGUGCUAGCGUCACGCUCAAUUUACCUCGCUUAUCAACGUACUAAUCGCACGUUAAUUUCCUAUCCUGUAUAAUUAAUUUUCCAUCGCACAUUUGUUCAAAAUUUCCACGUUUUAUCAUAAUAUCGAAUCGAAUAUUUCGAAAACGAUCGUAUUAUCUUAUUUUUCGUCCCUGAUCGUGAAAUCAGUAAAAACUCUAGACACGAAAUAAUCUUUUUAAAGAACUAUCGUUGUUACGAUGAAAAAAACUUGUCCACCUUUACACGUAUUUUUCACUCCGGAUAAAAAGUGGAAGGGUAAACGUACCCGAAUAAUAAGGUCUAUCGGAGAAACGUUUCGGCAGGGCAACGUUUUGGUAGGAAGAAAGACAGACGAUGCGAAAACUCGACCCAGAACCAGUGGGCAUUGAAGAGGGACAGUGGCACGCGCGUUACAGCAUUCUCCGGAAGAAUGGCAAAAAAGUAUGGAGGAAACGCUACCGUACUUGGCAGCGACCACGAAACGAGUCGCUUGUUUUCGUUACUUGCAACGAUUACAACGGUACCGAGAGUACUACGAUUCCAGUGCAUCAGGCUUGUGGGUUGAAGCCAUUGGAACGCGGUGAAAACGAAGAAAAACCGGUAUACACCAUGUUCGGUAACUGUUACCACGCUGCAUCGACAACUCGUCAACCACUGACGCACGCGCACCUAUGUGCUUGGAAAGUGCGCACACGUUCGUGCGCUUCUCGAAACUCGAAAAAAUCGCACAAAAAAGUCUGACCGAAUUGAGCGUAUGCGCACGCCUGCGAACAUUUUUAACUGUAAACAGAUGUUACUCGUCAAGCUCGCAAAAUGUCGUUGCGCGAUGUAAAGAAGUUUUUACAAGAUUAUUUACUGCAAUGCAACGUAUGAAUCGACGAACUGAUCUGAAUUGAUAUAUAUAUAUAUAUAUAUAUAACAAAAUUUUAACAGUCGAGGAAAGAUAAAAUUGUUUCAAUAAUUUAAUGACAUUAUAUAAUGGAUCAAUUAUAAUAAUUACGAAUAAAUGUUAAACAUUUUAGAUAAAAUUAUUAUUUAACUUUAUUCGAAAUUUUAUUUCAACUCUUAAUCUGAUAAUCACAAUUAAAAACAAUUUCUUACCGACAAAAAUUUUUGAUUUUCACAAAAUUAAAAAUUCAAAUCCAUAUCCAAUAACUGAUCGGCUGAUACAGAAUGAAAACUAUAAAAACGCAGGGAAAAAAAGAACUAACGAGAGGAACGAGAUCGAUAUCGAACCGAUUUUUAAUAUUCGUUACAAGUUCGCGAUGCAUUCGAAGAUUUGAGAAGCCUCGUUACCGUAUCAUCGGAUGGUAGAUCGCAGGUAUUGUUUAUUCCCGAACGCACGCACGCGUUGGCAUAUCGAAACAAGGACGAAAAAGGGAGCUACAGGUUUUCGAAGGUUUGUUCUGGUCAGGCCCAAAACGAUCGGGAGCGGUGGCUUGUUCGGUUUGUAGGUUCGUGUGCCACGGGGCCAGUAGGCUCCCCCUUAUGUGGAAAGUAUUGGUGCGCACGCGCGAAUCGUCUUACCUUGGCCACGAGCCCUCGUGCGAGUUUACACGUUAAUCCAUUCGCGCAAAUUGCACGCACGAAUCGUCCUAUCGUAUCGCGUUUUGCAAUUUCAUCCACACCGUGCCUUCGCCAAUUCCUAUCUGAUCUGCGCUCCUUCGAGGAACAUCUUUCCAAAGAUAUUAUCUCGCCUCUCUAUCCUCUCUGUGUCGGCUGCCACUGAUAGUUAUUGGACGUCAAUUUGAAUUUCUAAUUUUUCUUUCUUGGAUGCCAGACAAAUAGAUGAAUAUUUAUUGAAUUUAAAUAAGUAUUUUUCGAUUCUCUAAUUAUUUCCAGAUUUUUCUAACUACAAAUCUUGUUGCUAUCUGAUAAUUGAUUACAAAAAUGCACGUAUAAAUACGUCAAAUAUCCUUUCUUCGCAUUGUCAAUUUUUUUCAUCAAAAAUAUUCGAUUCAAACAAGAAUUCUUAAAAUAAAAAAAAAAGAAAAAACAAAACAAAAGAAUCGCCAAAGAACGUACAAAGAGGGGAUAAAUCAACAGGAAUUAGAUAAGUAAUUGACAAAUAGCUUUCUGUCCAAAUUACCGGGGAUGUCGACUCGACCAUUAAUUGGUCCUCCGGUAAUUAUGAUACGUCGCGUAUCGCACCCGAAAGCAGCCGCGUGUGCGUGCACGCUGACGAUUCUACACUCGAGAACUUGAUUGAAAAAAAAAAAAAAAAAAUAAAAA